AUCCUUAGGAAUUAACGACAGAGAAACACUGUUCUCUAGAAGGCGUUCUAAUCUCGAACACAGUAUCAGCAACCCGAUUUGAGGUUCCGGUGUUGUUUCAAAAAUAAGUAAACUAAUUAAAAUUGGAAAGGGAUGGGGAUGGGGAUCAUGAUGAUGCUGGUGUCGAUCAUGCAGUGCUUUAUGGAUUUGGGGCUAGCUGGGAUUUCUAUGAUGAUUGGGUUGGGAAUUUUCGCUUCCAUUGCUUCAAUUCUUUGCUCCGCUGCUUUCUUGCUCCAUGCCAUUGCCAAAGAUGUCUCUUGAUUUCAGCUUUUGAAGCUCAGAUUAGCAAGGACUUGGAAGAACAAAUUGUAACCUCUGUAAGUAACUAUGGUGGAUUCAGGUGUCGUAAAUGUUCCACCUUCAAACUCGCGGUUUGUUGUUCCUUUGCUGCGGUUGCAAUGUCGGAUGUGUUUGCUUCUCAGUCUUUAUGUAUGUGGUGAAGGCUUCUGUAAUGGAUAAUGCUAUUGUUGGCUUUUGAGAACCAGAGGCAAUUUUCUUGUAAGAUGUUUGACAUUUUUCUGCUAAAUUCAUCCCUCCCACAUUGGCAAGAGAAAAAAAAAUGUAUUCCUUGUCUCUGCUUCGAAAAUGACUUUUUUGUUAGAGAUUGUGACAUGAACUUUGUUAGGCCUAGUCUGUGGUUUUAAGAUUUUUCACGUAAA